AACGUAGGAGGCGAGCGUUAUCCGGAUUUACUGGGCGUAAAGCGCGCGCAGGCGGUCGGGUGAGUCGGACGUGAAAGCUCCUGGCUUAACUGGGAGAGGUCGUUCGAUACUGCCCGGCUUGAGGUUGGGAGAGGGGUGCGGAAUUCCCGGUGUAGUGGUGGAAUGCGUAGAUAUCGGGAGGAACACCAGUGGCGAAGGCGGCACCCUGGCCCACACCUGACGCUGAGGUGCGAAAGCGUGGGUAGCAAACAGG
rnacentral:rRNA from 1 species